rnacentral:lncRNA from 1 species
UUCCGCUGGAUCCAUCUUGCAGAUUUAUAAAAUCAGUUACAAAUGAACGUGUCAAGACUAUUGACCCGAAGCAUUUACCAGGACUGACAGCUCUGUGUUUUGACUUGCUGUCAAGUGUUGCAAUUUUUUGCCCCAUUUAUUUGUCCCAGAUUAUGAGGCUGUCUGGAAAUGCCCUGUGUGGAUUAUCCUGCUGGAUCUUGGUUGGAUCAGGAGAAGGAGUUGUGUGGUUUUGUCAUUGCUAUUUAUUGGAGUGAGCCUGGGAAAAUCACAAGAAGGGAAAGGUAAGCCUCUUCUGGACAAAUCAUGCCAAGAAAACCCCAUGAUAGGUUUGCCCUAUGGUUGUCAUAAGUUGGAAACAAUUUGAAGGCACACAAUUACAAUACAUUGUCCUGAAGUCAGAAAUCCUUGUAGGAAUACUA